rnacentral:misc_RNA from 1 species
AAAAGCCCGGGCCAAACCGAAAGAACUCGUCCUCGGCACUCCAUCCGUCGUCGUCGAGAAAGGCAAGUACAGCUACGACGUUGAAACCCUAAUCAACAAGCUCAGCAGCCUCCCUCCCCGUGGUAGCAUCGCACGUUGCCUUGAAGUAUUUAAGAACAAGCUCUCCCUAAACGACUUCGCUUUGGUCUUCAAGGAAUUCGCCCAGCGCGGGGACUGGCAGAGAUCGCUUCGCCUUUUCAAGUAUAUGCAGCGCC